rnacentral:rRNA from 2 species
UUGCCAACCUGCCGUCUACUCUUGGCCAGUCCUUCUGAAAGGAAGAUUAAUCCAGGAUGGGAUCAUGAGUUCACAUGUCCGCAUGAUUAAAGGUAUUUUCCGGUAGACGAUGGGGAUGCGUUCCAUUAGAUAGUAGGCGGGGUAACGGCCCACCUAGUCAACGAUGGAUAGGGGUUCUGAGAGGAAGGUCCCCCACAUUGGAACUGAGACACGGUCCAAACUCCUACGGGAGGCAGCAGUGAGGAAUAUUGGUCAAUGGGCGAUGGCCUGAACCAGCCAAGUAGCGUGAAGGAUGACUGCCCUAUGGGUUGUAAACUUCUUUUAUAAAGGAAUAAAGUCGGGUAUGCAUACCCGUUUGCAUGUACUUUAUGAAUAAGGAUCGGCUAACUCCGUGCCAGCAGCCGCGGUAAUACGGAGGAUCCNAGCGUUAUCCGGAUUUAUUGGGUU